rnacentral:tRNA from 1 species
GCGGGAGUAGCUCAGUUGGCUAGAGCGCCACGUUGCCAACGUGGAGGUCGAGGGUUCGAGCCCCUUUUCCCGCUCCA